CCCCCGCCCAUCGCCAUGUACACCUUCGUGGUGCGGGACGAGGGCAGCAGCGUGUACGCCGAGGUGAGCCGGCUGCUGCUGGCCAGCGGGCAGUGGCGGCGCCUCCGCAGGGACAACCCCCGCUUCAACCUGAUGCUGGGCGAGAGGAACCGGCUCCCCUUCGGCAGGCUGGGCCAUGAACCUGGACUUGUGCAGCUGGUGAAUUACUACAGGGGAGCAGACAAGCUGUGCCGCAAAGCAUCUCUGGUGAAGCUAAUCAAGACAAGCCCUGAGCUAUCAGAGUCCUGCACAUGGUUCCCUGAGUCGUAUGUGAUUUACCCAACAAACUUGAAGACCCCCGUGGCUCCAGCACAGAAUGGAAUUCACCAUCUCAUAAACAACACAAGAACAGAUGAGCGGGAAGUCUUCUUGGCAGCUUACAACAGACGGCAGGAAGGCAAAGAAGGCAACGUGUGGAUUGCCAAGUCCUCAGCUGGUGCCAAAGGAGAAGGGAUCCUGAUUUCUUCAGAGGCUACAGAGCUUCUGGACUUCAUCGACGAGCAGGGACAAGUGCACGUGAUUCAGAAAUACCUGGAGAAUCCUCUACUUUUAGAGCCAGGGCAUCGCAAGUUUGACAUCAGGAGCUGGGUUCUCGUGGAUCAUCAGUAUAAUAUCUACCUCUACAGAGAGGGUGUCCUGCGGACCUCUUCCGAACCAUAUAACAGUGCUAAUUUCCAGGACAAAACCUGCCACUUGACCAAUCACUGCAUUCAGAAGGAAUAUUCCAAAAACUAUGGGCGGUAUGAGGAAGGGAAUGAAAUGUUCUUUGAGGAGUUCAACCAGUAUCUGAUGGAUGCCCUGAACACAACGCUUGAGAAUGGCAUCUUACUGCAAAUCAAACACAUAAUAAGAAGCUGCCUUAUGUGUAUAGAGCCUGCAAUCAGCACGAAGCAUCUUCACUACCAGAGCUUCCAGCUCUUUGGCUUUGACUUCAUGGUGGAUGAGGAGCUGAAGGUCUGGCUAAUAGAAGUCAAUGGGGCCCCAGCGUGUGCUCAGAAGCUGUAUGCAGAGCUCUGCCAAGGAAUUGUGGAUGUAGCCAUUUCUAGUGUUUUCCCCCUCAAUGACACUGGGCAGAAGAUAAGCCAGUCAUCAUCGAUCUUCAUCAAGCUGUGAUGACGUCAGGACUGCCACUGCUGUGAACAGGGAAAGACUGCAUCCCUGGGGAUGGACAUUCAUUGCAACACACUCUGAAUCUACAAGUGGCACUGUUUGAUGCAGGGCCACUCAAAUCCAGGAGGGAACAGAGUGCUUAGCAAAACCCCGUGGAAGCAUCGCAGAGAGGGCACAUCCCGAAGAACCACACAAACACCUCUGAAGUUGUCAGCGCCCUGAAGCCAGCAUGGAUCUGCAUCUACGGAGUGCGUGCUGGAUGCAGAGUGCAGUGGUGCAUGCAGAGAAGUGACAGGGAGCAGGACCUGUGUGAAAAGGGGGCUGCAGCUUGGUUGCCCUGCACUGCAAGUACUGGCAGGUGGCUUCACUUCUAGCGAGAUGCUGAAUGCCAGGUCUGGUCUCUGGAUUUGGGCCUCAUGGGUGUUCAGAAGAUGGACCAUGAAUGCACUGCUCCAUGAGAUGGGAAGUGCUGGGUGAUAAAGUGGGGAGAGGGGUGUGGGGGAAGGAGUGGUUGGGUUUUUAGCACAUGGGUGUAAAAAUUUCACUGCAGUCCAGGUAAAAUGUAGCGAUAACGUCCCAAGGUAAAAUGUGGGCUGUUAAGGGUUGUUAAUCAACUUGCAAAGUUCACCAUAUCUCCAUUGACAUUUUCGUGUUAGCUUAUGUGAAUUUAAGAAUAAUACCAUCUUGCCCAGCAAAGAGAUCUCACAGCAAUUGCUCUCAUCCAGGAUGUGCCUGAGGUGACAGCUGGGCUCUCACAAGCUCUAGGGCAGAUGAGCAGAGUGUGAAGUUAGACCAGAAAAUUUUCCCCAACACAAUGAACUAGAAAUACUUGUUUUCUGGGGUGCUAGACCCAUCCUUCUUUUCCCCUAAAAAGGAAGGGGAGGUUAAAUUAUGAUGAUGAAUCACUCCCUUACUGCACAGUAACAUGAGGUUCCUGGCUAUGUAGCAGGAUAAGAGAGAGAGCUGCCUGGAUACAGGCAAAAGCAGUGGCCCCCACUGGAGCAGCUGGUACCACCAGCAGGAGAAAUGACUGGAGAUCUUCUGCCUAAUUCCAAGGCCUUUCCUUCCCCCUUUUUCAUCCCAGAUUGGUUGUGGCAGAUUAACAGCUGGCCAUUUUUGCUGUUCAUCUGAAAGUGGGGCUUCGGCUUGGCAGUAGAGUCAUGACUACAGGCAGUGCAGUUAUUCGUACCCUGCCUUUUAAGCUGGGCAUGGGGGAGGUAGUGUUUCAGGAAACUUGAAUCCUCCAUUUGCUGAAUUUUUCAGGAAUAAGCAACAGCCUCUGGAGGAAAAUGUGUGUAUUUUCCACCUUCUCUCAGUGCUCCCCAAAGUAAAGCACAGAACGUAAAUUAUAAAGGACAGAGAGCACAGUGCCUAAGGUUUUGCCCAAAAUACUAGCUACGAGGUGGAGUAGAGGAUGUGUGUGUGGCUGAGGCCUGAGCAUUGCAGCCAUGGGUGCACCUUGCAAGUGAUACUCACAAGCCCCUGUGAGACUUUUGUUUGUUUCUUUUUUAGGAAUAUACAACAAUAAAUGUUUUCUAGCUUAUUUCAGCUAAAAGGUCAAUAGAAAAGGUCUUACUCUCUUUCCUGAGCUUUCACCCAGGAUGGUGCUGGGUUUCUAGAAGACAUCUACCAUAUUGCAGAAUGUCUCUAGUCCUAGAUGUAUCCCUUCAUGUCAUCCAUGAAGGAUUUCUGUCCCAGGUGUUCUGGCUGCGUCUUCCAGCAGGGUCUGGUCCCGCUGGACUCUGGGUUUCAGAUAACUCCGAUGUGGCUUGUUGCAUAUACAUUAGUCAUUGUUACCAUGCAACAGGUAUUGUGUUUCUGCUAAAAUCUGAUGGCUGGCCACAGUCCACAGAGAAUGCUGGACAAGUCUAAGAAAGGCUCAAAAGCUGCUUUCGUCUAGGUGGCUGUGGCCAGUGCCCUUCAGGACUGCUUGCAUGUACCUGCUCCCAGCAUUUGUUGUUCUCCACAUGCAGCUCUCCUUCAGGAGAGCAAUGCUGUACCAUGUGUAGGUUCAUAAACAUAUUCCAUUGACAGUGUCUGCUGUGGCAGCCCUGGGGAAACCCUGGUGUUGAGAGGAUGGUGGGGUACAUGGGGCGCUGCCAAGCUGGCCGCCUGCCAGGCUCUGGAUCGUGUCCCCAGCUGCUCUCACGUCAGCAUGUGCGUGUGAGGCUGGCAAGUGCCUGAGUUCGUGGAUCUCCGGUGACU